AGUAACGCGUGGGUAACCUGCCUCAUACAGGGGGAUAACAGUUAGAAAUGACUGCUAAUACCGCAUAAGCGCACAGUACCGCAUGGUACCGUGUGAAAAACUCUGGUGGUAUGAGAUGGACCCGCGUCUGAUUAGCUAGUUGGUGAGGUAACGGCCCACCAAGGCGACGAUCAGUAGCCGACCUGAGAGGGUGACCGGCCACAUUGGGACUGAGACACGGCCCAA
rnacentral:rRNA from 1 species